GCUGAGGAAGUCAUUUAUGUAACGGACUCUGUGAGAUCAGAGACAAGGAGUAAAAUGCCUGAGCUCAAGUGACAACAAGCAACCCCAAACUAGAGACAGGAUCCUUCUCCCCACUUCAAGCAGAUCCCAGCAUGAAUCCUGCAGUGUGGUGAUGGCAAAAGUCGGUGCAGGACCGCUGGGACUCCUGGACCUUCUCACAUCUCUGACAGCACCAGCAGCAGAAAACAUCGCCGAUUUCAUCUGUUCCUUCAGUCCCCAGAUAGCAGAUGACUGGUAGGAAGAUGAGGCAAGUUUGUGGUCCAUUGUCAUGGAUAGUGGAGACAACAAUGGGCCAGAAGUGGUAAGACCUGAAUCCAAGACUCAGCUCUGCCGCUUGCUAAAUGGGACUUUGAAUAAACCAUUUCUCUGCACUUAAGUUCCUUACCAACAAAAUGAGGGAAGUGGCCUACAUGCCUAGAUAUCAACAUUUCAUGUCAUGUAGAGAUCUAGCAUCACAAGACUCCAAAUCAUCCUCUGUUGCCUUUAAGAUUUCAGCACGGUGAAGGAAAAGUAGCAGAAGACUGAAUGCAUACUCAUUUUUCAAGCUCUGGAUUUAAUCUUUCCAUAGCUGGAAUUGCCUCCUCCUCAAAAGCCUUAUUUGUUCAUUUAAUUGGGGCAACAUGAAAUAAUGAUGUAUCAUUGACAGAGAACAGGGGGCUUAGGUUCUCAUCUUGGUCCUAGUGAUUACUCUAUGCAUAACCUCAACUUCUUUAUCUGUACAUUGGGAACAAUAAUUCUUACUCCACUUGUCGUGUUGAAACUGAAUUAUAUAAUUCAUAAAUUAAAACACCAAAUUCUGAUAAAUGCUAAAUGCCAUUUUCUUAUCUUGUUCUUUCCUAUAAUGCCCAUUUUGAUAUAAACCAGGCUCCCUUGUCAGUCUUGCAAAAGGUAUUCUCAAGAAGAACUUAUAUCUUUGGUUUAUCAACAAAUUUGCAAAGCUGUGUUGAUAAUCUAGAGCUGAGUCUUUUAACAAGUUUUAACAAUAUCUCAAUUACUAUGAUGUAGGUCUCUUAAUAAAAUGUAAAUGUAAAUGUGACAGAAGUCAACAUUAGGACUUUUAGGAAGGGAUAUAGACACUCAACAUUCCUCUUUGUUCAGGAGGGUGACAUAGCACAGCUUGCCACCUGUGAGCUAACCUUAUCUAGAACACAGUAUAGGAACUACUGCUUGACUAGAAAACUAAUUUAUAAAGCUUAAGGAACUUAAGGGACUUUCAGGGACUAAUUUACCAUCAUAAAAUAUCUAUCUCUACGAAGAAAGAAGAGAGUUUUAAGUACUUGAAAAUAACAAUCUUAUAUUUUAGACUUUUUGAGUGAAACUUCUUCACCCUUGCAAUAGACUGGCCAGAAAAAGAGUGAUUGCCAUCUCCCAUCUCUUAGAAUAGCAUGCUUGCCUGCAGACUCUGUGGCCAUGUUUCAACAACUGGAUUAGACCUCUUUCAUUAUCAAAUCCAUAUCUGAUCAAUUUCAAGUUGUUCCUGUCCCUUGGGAGUGGUUUGCCAUUUCCUGCCUAUGACUGAAUUCCUGCUUUCUUCUUAUCCUCAAUAGCUCAUGGCACGGACAUUCUCGUGUGCCUUGUCCACAUCAUGACCCUGCUAUCCAUUUGGCUGACCUCCACACUUUGUGUUUCCCGCUUUCAUAUCACAUGAGACUCUCAAGGAGAGAGUUUCAGGAUGGGUAAAGCUAAGAAGUAAAAAUAGAAAAGGUGGUGAAAAUUCAGUAGAAUAGCAUACAGGUUGACAGAAGAACACAUUUAUUUUCUAGUGGGGAGUGAUCCGUGAAGAAAGACCCGAAUCAAGAAGUCUUUCAGAAUUCUGGUUUUAAUAGUUUCCCAAGUUUACUUAUUAACAUUUACAUUCAAGCCAGAGAGAAAAGAGAGGAAGUCAUUCAAGAGAAAAUUGUCACAAGAAGAGCCUAUCCAAUGGAAAUGGCCACCUCUUAUUGAUCACUUACCGUAGGCUGGGUGUAUAGGGCAAGGGUCCUUAAGAUUAGCUGCAUAGCAGAAUCACCAGGGGAGCUUUUACAAAUCCUGAUGCCAGGGCUAACUGCAGACCAAUACAGGUGGAAUCCAACAUAUUUAAAGCUACAUAAGUCAUUUCAAUGUGCAGCUAAUUUUGAGAGCCACUUUCAAUGGUGCUAGAGCCAGCUCUUAUUAGCUCACAGAAGCCAAUUAUUAAAUUUUCAGGAAUUCUGUAAGCGAAACACAUUGGCCACAGAGGGAAUAUUUACACCAUGGAAAUUUACAAAUGCUGCAAAUCGUUUUUUUAUCUCUCUGGAGAACUAGUUUUUAAACAUUUACAAACACACUGGUGGCCCUAAGGGGUAAACAUAUAACUUGCUAUUUAAAUCUGGGCAAUUUUAAGACACAUAGAGGGGAACAAAACAUACUGGAGCCUGCCAGAGGGUGAGGGGUGUGAGGAGGGAGAGGAUCAGGAAGAAUAACUAACGGGUACUAGGCUUAAUACCUGAGUGAUGAAGUAAUCUGCGUAACAAACUCCCAUGACAACGCAAGUUUACCUGUGUAACAAACCUGCACAUGUACCCCUGAACUUAAAAUAAAAGUUAAAAGAAGAAAAAGCACAAAAAAAAAAGAACAGAAAGAAGACAUUGUUAAUAAUUAUGCCAGGACAAUUAGCUUGAAUCAGAAAUUAUGAUCACUUUAAGUAUCUAGGUAGUUAAUACUCACAAUACCUAUGAAAGACAGUUAUCAUAAUGGCCAUUUAAUGAUUAGUCAACAGUGUCUUGGGGAAUUUAAGUAAGUUUCUCAAAUUUCUUUCACACAAAUUAGAAUUAAAGGAAUCAGAAUUGAAGUGAAUCUGACUACACUAAGCCUAUCACUUGUGACAGCCAUGGGAAGAUAUCAUUGGUUGCUGAGGAGCAGAAAUAAGCAGAGACCUAUUGUGUUAGGUUAUCAUUCAUUUCAGGUACUUUAUGGAGUAGCAAUGGUCUAAAAUAGUGAGUUUUAUAUAGGAUUCAUUUGAACAUAUUUCUGAUGACUGUAUAACAAGUUAGAAACUUAAAAUGUAAAGAUGUGGUCCUAAGGCAGAAAAAUCGGAGAAUAAAUGUUCUACUGAAAUGUCUUCUGUGUAACUAUGUCCUGUGUGGGAUGAAAAAUCUAUUAACACUUGAUGUUUAAGAGAGAACUCAAGAAUCACCUGGCUGUUAGGUAUUUGUGCUCCAGGUUGGUUGAGAGGUGAGACAGAGAGGGAGAGGGAAAAGGGAAGGAGGGAGAAAGAAGGGAGAGAGGAAAUGGGAGAGAGUGAGGGAGAGAUGGUGACUGAAUUAGACAGAGAUGGAUGAUCGUGUUAUCUUGUUACCUUUCUUUUAUCACUGACUAUUCUACCAAACACAAGGCAUAUUUAAAACUAUCUCCACUCUGUACAGUCUCAUUCCACACUUCUUUCCCAAUUCUCAGCAGUUGAACUUGCCUCCUACUUUAGAUUAAAAGUGGAAGCUGUUAGAUUGGAAGUAUCGAUCCUAAACCUACACACACAUCCACCUACACAUAACACAUUCCAUCUUCUCUCUCCCUAUUACACUGGCAGAGCCAUUUCUCCUCGUAUCUAAAGUCAUCUUUUCCUUCUGGCCCUUGAAUUCUCCCAUCCUCCACAUCCAUGCACUGUCAGGAUCUCUCUAGUACAUUUCUCUCAUUCUCCCUCAUUUGGAUCUACUCCAUUGGCCUUUGUCAUUGUUUGUUUGCCUUUAAAAACAACAUUUUAUUAGAGCUCAUAAUUUUAUGGUCAGGAAUUCUGUGGUCAGAAAUUCAAGCUCCUUUUGGUUGGCCAAGUCUUCUUUUCCACCUCUUUUGACUAAGGUCACUCCAUGGAAUUCAGCGGGCAGAUGGUCAGGCUGGGAGGUCUGCCAUGGCUCUGCUCACAUGGCUGAUGUCUCAAUGGGGAUGGCCUCAGCUGGGGUCACUGGCCACGGUACCUACAGAUGGCCUCUCAAGCACGGUGGCACCUGGGUAGCCCUGCUUCUAUUUAAUUUUUUUUUUAUUUUUAUGAUUUGUAUCAAUACAUAAUAUUUGUACAUAUUAUGGGGUACAUGCAGUGUUUUGAUACAUGCAUACAAUGUGUAAUGAUCAAUUGGAGUAUUUAGGAUAGCCAUCACCUCAAAUGUUUACCAUUUCUUUGUGUUAAGAACAUUUCAAGUCUUCUCUUCUAGCUAUUUUUAAAUAUAAGAUAUGUUGUUAACUAGAGUCACCCUACUGUGCUAUUGAACACUAGAACUAUCCCUUCCAUCAAAUUGUAUUUUUGUACCCAUUAACAAACCUUGCUUCAUCCCUCUCACCACAUCCAUCUCUCCUACCACAGCCUCUGGUAACUAUCAUUUUCCUCUCUACCUCCAUGAGAUCAACUUUUUAGCUCCUAUAUUAUGAGUAAGGACAUGUAAUAUUUGUCUUUCUGUGCCUGGCUUAUUUCACUUAACAUAGUGACCUCCAGUUCCAUCUAUGUUGCUGCAAAUAACAAGAUUUCAUCUUUUUAAUGGAUGAAUUGUAUUCCAUUGUGCGUACGACUCACAUUUUCUUUAUCUAUUCAUCCAUGGAUGGACACAGGCUGAUUCCCUAUCUUGACUAUUGUGAAUAGUGCUGCAAUAAACAAGGAAGUGCAGGCAUCCUUGUGAUAUACUGAUUUCCUUUCCUUUGGAUCAAUUCCCAGUGAUGGGAUUACUGGACUGUGUGGUAGUUCUAUUUUUUCAUUUCUUGAAGAAACUCUAUAUGGUUUUCCAAUGGCUGUACUGAUUUACAUUACACAACAGUGUACAAGAGUUCCCUUUUCUCUGCAUCCUUGCCAGCAUUUGUUAUUUUUGUCCAUUGGCUUUUAAGUAUUCUUAAAUCUCUCCUCAAAAAAAAAAAAAAAAAAAGAAAAGAAAAGAAAAGAAAAGAAAUCUCACUAUUCUACCAAACCUUCACACCUCUGUUUCUUCUUUCAUUCACAGUCAAAUAUCUUGAAAGAGCUACUUUUUCUUGCUAAUUUCAUUUCUGUAUCUCCCACUCAAUCCUCAAGACCUUCUGAUCUGACUUUGCUCCCUUCUUGCCCUUAUCACGCCACUGAAACAGCUCUUGGUAAGGCCAUCAAAACCUUCAUUUACAUGAUCUCUGUCUGAUUGAUACUUUUUAUUCCUAACUUGAAUAAACUCACUAGAAUUUGACAUCCCUGAUCACUUUCUCUCUUUGGUUUCUGGUUUCCAUGACUUAACACUCCUGGUUUUCCUCCUAAAUUAGUAAUUGCUCCUCCUCAAUGUCGUUAGAAAAUUUGCCCUCUUCUACACAGCCACCAAAUGCUGUUCAAAACACGGCCUGUGCCCUCUUCUCUCUGCUCUCUCACCUCUCAGUUAGCCAACCUGGAGCACAGAAACCUAACACCCAGAUGAUUCUUGAGUUCUCUCUUUUUCAACUGUGGCACUACCGAUGUUGUGGAAUGGACAAUUUCUUGUUAUG